AAUCAACGCUGGCGGCGUGCCUAACACAUGCAAGUCGAACGCGAAAGCCCCUUCGGGGGGUUAGUAGAGUGGCGUCCGGGUGAGUAACACGUGGGUAAUCUGCCUUCGGGUGGGGAAUAACCCAGGGAAACUUGGGCUAAUACCGCAUAAUGCAGCGGCACCUAAUGGUGAUUAGUUGUUAAAGCGGGGGAUCGCAAGACCUCGCGCCUGAAGAGGAGCCUGCGGCAGAUUAGCUAGUUGGGAGGUAAUGGCUCACCAAGGCUUCGAUCUGUAGCUGGUCUGAGAGGACGGCCAGCCACACUGGCACUGACACACGGGCCAGACUCCUACGGGAGGCAGCAGUGGGGAA
rnacentral:rRNA from 1 species